AGGGGGGCUGUCAAUCACCGGGAGCCCUCCGUGAAAGGGGCCCCUUGUCAACUUCCCCCGCCUUUGAAGUGCCUGGGAUGGAGGUGCUCAAUUAAAAGCCCAUCAGUCUGUAUUUGCUGAGCAUCUACUACGUCUAUGUAAUGUGGACCACAGGAAGGCAAGGAAGAAUCAGAAACUAAUUCUGUCCUCCCAGAGGAGAGGAAAUAUUAUUCAGUAAAACUCCUUGCCUUAAACUCUGCUUCGUCUGAUACUUGUCUGGAUACACCACCUUUCUUUAGUUGAUCUCUGCUGUUUUUGGGUCAGGAGUUUGGAUCGAGCAUAGCAGGGAUGUCUCAUAUCUGUUCUACGAUGUCUGGAGUUGUGGCUGGGAACACCUGAAUGAUUGUGGGCUGGAGUUAUCUGAUGACUUUUUCACUUACUGGCUGGUACUCAGACCAGGAUAACUGGAGACUGGGCUCAGUGAGGACUUGAUAUGUAACUUGGGGUAUCCUGGAAGCCUCUGGGCAGUCAGCCUGCUUAUAUAGUGGCUCAGAGCUCCGAGAGUGAGCAUUUCACUGAAUAAAGCCAAAUUUGCAUAGACUUUUAUUACCUAGCCUUGAAAAAAUCAUAGUGUUAUUGCUGCCAUUAUUUAUUGAUUGAAGGAGUCACAAGCCUGUCCAGACGAGGCAGGGGAGUUAAACCCCCACUUCUUAAUGAGAGGAGUGCAAAAGGAUUUGUGACUAGGUUUUAAAACUGUCACACAACUUUUCUUCCUGUAUUUCUACGUUUUAAGAUGUGUUACUUGUGUGUUGCAUAUGGCUGGAUUUUAUUUAUUUUUAUCCAGUCUCACGAUUUUUGUUUUCUAAUUGGAGACUUUGGUCCAUGUAUAUUUAAAGUAAAUAUUGAUACUAAGGUUUAAACUGAUCUUACUGUUUACUUCCUAUUUGCUGCAUGUGUAUUUUAUUAAACUUGUUCUCCUUUCUUUCCUCCUUUGGAUUAAUCAUGC
ensembl:lncRNA